rnacentral:rRNA from 1 species
AUACGGAGGGUGCGAGCGUUAAUCGGAAUUACUGGGCGUAAAGGGUGCGUAGGCGGCUUGAUAAGUCGGAUGUGAAAGCCCCGGGCUUAACCUGGGAAUUGCAUUCGAUACUGUCAGGCUAGAGUAUGUCAGAGGUUGGCGGAAUUCCUGGUGUAGCGGUGAAAUGCGUAGAUAUCAGGAGGAACACCAGUGGCGAAGGCGGCUAACUGGGGCAAUACUGACGCUGAGGCACGAAAGCGUGGGGAGCGAACAGGAUUAGAAACCCUAGUAGUCC